rnacentral:rRNA from 1 species
GUGGGGAAUAUUGGGCAAUGGGCGCAAGCCUGACCCAGCAACGCCGCGUGAAGGAAGAAGGCUUUCGGGUUGUAAACUUCUUUUACCAGGGACGAAACAAAUGACGGUACCUGGUGAAUAAGCCACGGCUAACUACGUGCCAGCAGCCGCGGUAAUACGUAGGUGGCGAGCGUUAUCCGGAUUUAUUGGGUGUAAAGGGCGUGUAGGCGGGACAGCAAGUCAGAUGUGAAAACCAGAGGCUCAACCUCUGGCCUGCAUUUGAAACUGUUGUUCUUGAGUGUCGGAGAGGUAAUCGGAAUUCCGUGUGUAGCGGUGAAAUGCGUAGAUAUACGGAGGAACACCAGUGGCGAAGGCGACUUACUGGACUGUAACUGACGCUGAGGCGCGAAAGUGUGGGGAGCAAACAGGAUUAGAUACCCCAGUAGUCC